UGGAAGUUCAGGGUCGGGUAUAUUCCAGGGGCUGGGUUUGGGUGACGAGUUGCAGGAGGGUUUGGGAGAGGAGGAAGUUGGCAGAACUAGGUCGCAGCCAGAUGGUGUGCCAGGUAGUCUGCUCUCAGCUUAUGAAAUGGUAAAAAAGAACGGUCAGGUUACUCCAGAGGUGGCGGUUUGUGCUGCUGUUCCGGCAGUGUAUACGGGUUCAUCCGUGUCAUAUCGUAGCAAGAGGAGGGCUGCAACUUCAGCGGGAGACAGUUUGGAGAGGGCUUCCAAGUUGAAGGCGUCUCGCAACCUCGACUCCGACUUCAUGGAAGGUUCUAUUCAGAGGAACUCAUUGGCUCAGACUUUGGGCGCAGCUGCAAAGAAGUGACGAUUCAGCGAAUCUGUUAAGAAGAGCUUGUCGACAUCUGGAGACGAUGGCCAUGCACUUUUUUGCUUAUCGGGGUUGGAGAUUUUCUAAUAGGAUUACGUUGUAUUGAUCAUUUUCAUUUUUUAAGUGAG
rnacentral:misc_RNA from 1 species